rnacentral:rRNA from 1 species
GUGGGGAAUAUUGGACAAUGGGCGCAAGCCUGAUCCAGCCAUGCCGCGUGAGUGAUGAAGGCCUUAGGGUUGUAAAGCUCUUUCAGUGGGGACGAUAAUGACGGUACCCACAGAAGAAGCCCCGGCUAACUUCGUGCCAGCAGCCGCGGUAAUACGAAGGGGGCUAGCGUUGUUCGGAUUUACUGGGCGUAAAGCGCACGUAGGCGGAUCGUUAAGUCGGGGGUGAAAUCCUGGAGCUCAACUCCAGAACUGCCUUCGAUACUGGCGAUCUUGAGUCCGGAAGAGGUGAGUGGAACUCCUAGUGUAGAGGUGGAAUUCGUAGAUAUUAGGAAGAACACCAGUGGCGAAGGCGGCUCACUGGUCCGGUACUGACGCUGAGGUGUGAAAGCGUGGGGAGCAAACAGGAUUAGAAACCCUGGUAGUCC